UUUGACGGACUAGGCGUGCAGAUUGUUGAUCACGCGCACGACCGGAGUGCCGUGAUCAACAAACUAAUCCGGGAGAGGCCGCAGUACCCCGAUGGCAGCAAGACGAACAACUCAAAUGACACCUGGCACGCAACGAAGGCCAUCGCAAGGAAAUUCAAGAAAGUGUCCAGUGGAGCCAGGAGGAGCCAAGGAGUGACCUGGCACCCGCAGCUGGCAGAUAAAGG